rnacentral:misc_RNA from 1 species
AACGGUCUAUACCUGCGGUACCUGCGGAGGGAUCAUUAUAGAGUGGUAAACCCCCCGUAAAAGGGGGGGACCUCCUGUCCUUUGUAGGCUCUUUUUUAAAAGGGCUUUUUUUAAUUUUCUGCUUCGGUGGGGUUAUCCCACCGGAACAACCUCAAAACUCUUAUCAAAAAAUCGUUCUGUCUGAGAACCUUUUAUAAUAAAAAAAAACUUUCAGCAAUGGAUCUCUAGAUCGGAAGAGCA